AAUCCAACCAGGGCCCAAACCAUUGUUAUUAUGCGCUCACGCUUAGGAUCCUUCCCCGACGCAGGUUGUCGCGUCCCCUGCUGCUGCGACCAUGGCCGCCGAGCGUGGGCUGCUGGGGGACUACCGGAGCACCGAAACUGUUGGAGGCAGGGACAUGGGUCCGCGGUUAUGUCGCGUGGAGCCACGGCGCUUCCAGGCGGCGGGAUGGACGUGGCAUCCGGGGGGAGCUGGCAUGGGCGAUGGCGCAGUGCCGCCACCGCCCUCUCCGUGCCGAUGCCGUCGGUGCAUCCCAGCCCACAGCCGCAGUAGCUGCGGUGGCCGUGGGAGGAGUUCCGCUGCCAUGAGAUCUUUCCUAGAGAUGAUGGUUGGAGUGACCUCAUCAAGGGCAUUGUUGGGCAGGAUGCAUGUCUGAGGCCAGAUUGAGCAAGAAAGCAUGCUGCUCUAGGCGUCCAUAGCCUCAGACUGCGAAGAUCUACAGGGCCCAGUCAGCCUCGCAGGUGUGCAUAACGGCAGCUGCAAGGUUGAAGAUCGUCAUCGUGAAUGAGCAUGACUGCUUCCCUACACAUGGAAAAGGAACGACAUGCCACACUGCAAGAUACAAAGAUGGAAUAGAGAUGUUGCUCGAAAGGUUAAAAAAUGAAAGGAUUAGAGACUCCACAAUGGAUUUGGACAGUAAGCUAUCACCUAUGCUCCCAUCGAAUGCUAUGUGGUGGGAGUUAUGGUCGCAGCUAGCGCAUAAUUUUGAGUGACAUUGAAGGCAAUGGUUUCUAUGCCCAAUCCCUCCUAAAAUUGGACACCUUAUGCAUCUCUUUGCUGGAGCUGUUCUUUAAGAACCAGAGCAGUGCAAAGCAGCGAUGUUGCACUGAAGAUCAUAUACUAUGGAGUCUGUUAUGCUGAAGUUGCUUGGACACAGAAUAAGCUCAAUGAUUCAAAAUUUCCUUUGGUUGUUGGUGUGGCAGCACAUAUUCAGACUAUGCUAGAAGAAACCCAGCUGAAAUUUGAGAAAAGGUAUUUGGUAUUCCACUUCCACACGAUUUUCCUAUUAAUUUAUUGAGAGCAUGUGAAACCACAUAAGUUAUUUUCUUCUGAAAUCGAGUUUAGUACUGAAACCUGUAUUGAGGUUGAAUGUAAAUAUGGCGAGGUAGAAAACUAAAUUUUUGACUUGAGGGAAACAUUAUCUUAAUUCAAUUGUUUGGACCACUGUGGCUCUCACUGCAAAGAUGUAUUAUUGGGUGGACUUGUCAAAAGUGAAAAUCGUUUGUCCUUAUCGUAGUAGAUAAAUAUGUUCCUUUUUCUCUUUACUUUGUGUUCUAUCAAGAAGUUCUGCAUCCUUUGCUGGCACGUAAACAUAGUCAUAAUGUUUCUUUGUCUUUGCAAGAUUUGUUUUUGAACUGAUAUUUUGUUCUUGUAAAGGAUAUUAGGUGUGACAUAAAUUUGAGUGAGUAUGGUGUAAACGCUAUUCUUAUAAUCAAUGUUGCUUCAAAAUGGUAGCUUUUGAAACCGAACUUCAUUAUUUAACAUUGUAAUCUAGCCUACUUCAAAUCAUAAUUCUAAGGAAAUGGUUGUCCCUUUCUCCAAGUUUGAAUUUAUUCAUUUGAGCGAAUCUACUUGUUAAUCUUUAAAGCAGUUGAAAUGAAUACUGUAUCCUCCAGGGUUAACUUCAUAUAUUGCAUCUAUCUUCAACCCAACUUGUACUAUGGAUCUGAGUUGCUGUUCUGUCUAGGCCUUUCAGGAAGGGGACCUACCAUUUUAUAUUAUGUUCUUAGACGGAUGCAUGUCUUUCCUUGUUGUUUAUGCAUAUGUUACUAUACUGCAGACUACUAAUGUUGUAAAUAGCUCACUCUGGUGUAGCAAACAUGUGCUUUGUAUCUUUGGAGAACUCCAAAAUCUACUUAAGCAAUUCAAAAAUUAUUUUAGUAUGCUAGACAUGACUUUAUUGUACCUUGUUCUGCAUGGGUGUUUUUUUUGGAUUAUAUACAUGGUCAUAUACAAUUGCGUGAGAAUUAAAAUAUAGAAAAAUAUUGUUGUUUAGUUGUUUUUAUGUGCAUUAUUGAAAUAAAACUGUGGCGUUAGCACAGACACUAUACUAGUACUACAGUAGGAAUUCCAAAGCACUACCAUCUGAUUUUUACUAUCAAGCCCAACAAACCUACCUAAAAUAAAAAAAUAAGGAAAUGCCUUAUAAAGCUGCCCGGAGAGAGUGUAAUUGAAAAACAGAAAACAUAAUCUUAUCCUUAUCCAUCAAUUGGAGAUCUGAAAAGUCCCAAAAUCAUAUCCUCGAGUAGUGGAAAGGCCGAAGUUGAACCCUUUUGGGCUAAGGCUGUGCUGGUGCUACAGGGUCAUGAAGGCAAAGGGCUAAAGGCCAAGACCACUAGGUUUGCCACUUGCCUUUGCACUAUUAUAUUGGUAGAGUUUUUCUAGUAUUUUUAAGAAGUAGUAACACAUUCCUAGAA